rnacentral:rRNA from 1 species
GUUUGACUCCGUGGCUACGAGGACGAACGCUGGCGGCGUGCCUAACACAUGCAAGUCGAGCGAAGCAUUUGGUAAAGCUUGCUUUACCGAAUGACUUAGCGGCGGACGGGUGAGUAACGCGUGAGCAACCUGGCCUUUACAGGGGGGAUAACAGUUGGAAACGACUGCUAAUACCGCAUAACACUUUAGUACCGCAUGGUACAGAGGUCAAAGAUUUAUUGGUAAAGGAUGGGCUCGCGUCUGAUUAGAUAGUUGGCGGGGUAACGGCCCACCAAGUCGACGAUCAGUAGCCGGACUGAGAGGUUGAACGGCCACAUUGGGACUGAGACACGGCCCAAACUCCUACGGGAGGCAGCAGUGGGGAAUAUUGCACAAUGGGGGAAACCCUGAUGCAGCGACGCCGCGUGAGUGAAGAAGUAUUUCGGUAUGUAAAGCUCUAUCAGCAGGGAAGAAAAUGACGGUACCUGACUAAGAAGCCCCGGCUAACUACGUG